GUCUAUGGCCAUGCUACCUUGAAAGUGCCUGAUCUCGUCUGAUCUCGGAAGCUAAGCAGGGUCGGGCCUGGUUAGUAUUGGAUGGGAGACCAUUUAGGAAUACCAGAUGAUGUAGGCA
rnacentral:rRNA from 1 species